UACGGGGGGGGCAAGCGUUGUUCGGAAUUACUGGGCGUAAAGGGCUCGUAGGCGGCCAACUAAGUCAGACGUGAAAUCCCUCGGCUUAACCGGGGAACUGCGUCUGAUACUGGAUGGCUUGAGAUUGGGAGAGGGAUGCGGAAUUCCCGGUGUAGCGGUGAAAUGCGCAGAUAUCGGGAGGAACACCUAUGGCGAAGGCAGCUCGCUGGGACGUUACUGACGCUGGAGACGCGAAAGCGUGGGGAGCAAACAGG
rnacentral:rRNA from 1 species